GAUGAACGCUGGCGGCGUGCCUAACACAUGCAAGUCGAGCGAUUCUCUUCGGAGAAGAGCGGCGGACGGGUGAGUAACGCGUGGGUAACCUGCCCUGUACACACGGAUAACAUACCGAAAGGUAUGCUAAUACGAGAUAAUAUGCUUUUAUCGCAUGGUAGAAGUAUCAAAGCUUUUGCGGUACAGGAUGGACCCGCGUCUGAUUAGCUAGUUGGUAAGGUAACGGCUAACCAAGGCGACGAUCAGUAGCCGACCUGAGAGGGUGAUCGGCCACAUUGGAACUGAGACACGGUCCAAACGCCUACGGGAGGCAGCAGUGGGGAAUAUUGCACAAUGGGCGAAAGCCUGAUGCAGCAACGCCGCGUGAGCGAUGAAGGCCUUCGGGUCGUAAAGCUCUGUCCUCAAGGAAGAUAAUGACGGUACUUGAGGAGGAAGCCCCGGCUAACUACGUGCCAGCCGCCGCAGUAAGAC
rnacentral:rRNA from 1 species